AUCAAAUAAAUACAUGUAAGGGCCAUUAAUACGGGUUUGGUAAACGCAAGUGUUCUCACGCAACAACGGACGUCACGGGGAAACCGUGUCCAGGUCCGGACGACGUGCUAUGAGGAGACAAUCGCGGCAGCGUUCACCAUUUUAACUCCCGACCAAGGCGGUGGAUCAGAUAUAAGACGACGGGACAGUUCAGUUCGGCAGAAUAAAUUCAACGAGAUGCCAGC